UGGGGAAUAUUGGACAAUGGGCGCAAGCCUGAUCCAGCAAUGCCGCGUGAGUGAUGAAGGCCUUAGGGUUGUAAAGCUCUUUCGCACGCGACGAUGAUGACGGUAGCGUGAGAAGAAGCCCCGGCUAACUUCGUGCCAGCAGCCGCGGUAAUACGAAGGGGGCUAGCGUUGUUCGGAAUUACUGGGCGUAAAGGGCGCGUAGGCGGCCUGUUUAGUCAGAAGUGAAAGCCCCGGGCUCAACCUGGGAAUAGCUUUUGAUACUGGCAGGCUUGAGUUCCGGAGAGGAUGGUGGAAUUCCCAGUGUAGAGGUGAAAUUCGUAGAUAUUGGGAAGAACACCGGUGGCGAAGGCGGCCAUCUGGACGGACACUGACGCUGAGGCGCGAAAGCGUGGGGAGCAAACAGGAUUAGAUACCCUGUAGUCCACGCCGUAAACGAUGAAUGCUAGACGUCGGGGUGCAUGCACUUCGGUGUCGCCGCUAACGCAUUAAGCAUUCCGCCUGGGGAGUACGGCCGCAAGGUUAAAACUCAAAUGAAUUGACGGGGUC
rnacentral:rRNA from 1 species